rnacentral:rRNA from 1 species
AUUGAACGCUGGCGGCAGGCCUAACACAUGCAAGUCGAGCGAGCGGCGGACGGGUGAGUAAUGUCUGGGAAACUGCCUGAUGGAGGGGGAUAACUACUGGAAACGGUAGCUAAUACCGCAUACCAUCAGAUGGGCCCAGUUGGGAUUAGCUAGUAGGUGGGUUAACGGCUCACCUAGGCGACGAUCCCUAGCUGGUCUGAGAGUAUGACCAGCCACACUGGAAAUGAGACACGGUCCCAACUCCGAGGGGAGGCAGCAGGGGGGAAUAUUGCACAAUGGGGGCAGGCCUGAUGCAGCGCUGCCGCGUGUGGGAAGAAGGCCUUCGGGUUGUAAAGCAAUGUCAGCGGGGAGGCGUUACCAGCAGAAGAAGCACCGGCUAACUCCGUGCCAGCAGCCGCGGUAAUAC